rnacentral:lncRNA from 1 species
AUAAAAUGGUUAAAAAAAGAGUGAAAACAAAAUAGUUUAAGAAAGCAAAGUGACAGUUCUUCUGAUAACUGCUUAAAAUAAAGGAAGUAAGACCAUGAAGAAUCAUACUGAUGAGCUGUUCUGCGUUGAAUUUUAAAAAAACGGCUAUUUUCAUAGCCACAAGUUAUUAAAAACAUCUAUUAGAAUAGAACGUUGAGAAACUGUGAAAGAAUGCAAAGAGCCAAGUAUCAUAUGAUAGCAGAGUUGUUUAUUAUAUUCAAUGAUACUGUUUAUUAUGAAAUAGUGUUCAUAUACAUAGUUUGUAAAAUUCUAUAAAAUA